ACUAACAAGGAUUCCCUCAGUAACGGCGAGUGAAGCGGGAAAAGCUCAGACUGAAAAUCUUCGGAGUUGUAGUCUGGAGACGCUAGAUCAGAUCAAUGCCUCGGCGAAAGUCUCUUGGAACAGAGCGCCAUGGAGGGUGAUAGCCCCGUUAGCUGAGGCCAAGGUUGUACGAUCGGCGUUCUAAGAGUCGAGUUGUUUGGGAUUGCAGCUCUAAGUGGGAGGUAAAUUCCUUCUAAAGCUAAAUAUAAAUGGGAGACCGAUAGCGAACAAGUACCGUGAGGGAAAGAUGCAAAGAACUUUGAAAAGAGAGUUAAACAGUACCUGAAAUUGCUGAAAUGGAACCGAUGGGGCGCAGUGUUGGCUUGUUGGUACUUGUACCCGUGAGCAAGUCAGGCUUCCUUCGCGGCGCGGGAAAGGCUUCUGGACCUGUAUGGGCCGGUUUUGCUGUCGUGCGGCGGAGGGACUCUGACGAAAUGCGCCUUAUCAUCCCGUCUUGAAACACGGACCAAGGAGUCUAACAUAUGUGCGAGUGCUCGGGGUAGAACUCCCAGCGCGGAAUUAACGUAAAGGUGGGCUUGCUCACUGAGGUAGGAUCUGAAAAGUGCACUAUCGACCGACCAUGAUCCCUCGGGAGAAAGGUUUGAGUGUGAGCAUAUAUGUUGGGACCCGAAAGAUGGUGAACUAUGCCUGAGUAGGGCGAAGCCAGGGGAAACUCUGGUGGAGGUCCGCAGCGAUUCUAACGUGCAAAUUGAUCGUCGAACUUGGGUAUAGGGGCGAAAGACUAAUCGAACCAUCUAGUAGCUGGUUCCUCCCGAAAUUUCCCUUAGGAUAGCUGCAACCGAACAGUUUUAUCAGGUAAAGCUAAUGAUUAGAGGCAUCAGGGGUGGAACGUCCUUGACCUAUUCUCAAACUUUAAAUGGGUAAGAGCCCUGGGUUGCUUAAUUGAACCCGGCGGUCGAAUGACGGUUGCUAGUGGGCCAAUCUGGGUAAGCUAGAUUGGCGAUGCGGGAUGAACCGAACGUUUAGUUAAAGUGCCAAAGUAUCCGCUAACCUAGAUCCCACAAAAGGUGUUGGUUCAUUAAGACAGCAGGACGGUGGCCAUGGAAGU
rnacentral:rRNA from 1 species